rnacentral:rRNA from 1 species
CAGCAGCCGCGGGAAUACGUAGGUGGCAAGCGUUGUCCGGAAUUAUUGGGCGUAAAGCGCGCGCAGGCGGAUCAGUUAGUCUGUCUUAAAAGUUCGGGGCUUAACCCCGUGAUGGGAUGGAAACUGCUGAUCUAGAGUAUCGGAGAGGAAAGUGGAAUUCCUAGUGUAGCGGUGAAAUGCGUAGAUAUUAGGAAGAACACCAGUGGCGAAGGCGACUUUCUGGACGAAAACUGACGCUGAGGCGCGAAAGCCAGGGGAGCGAGCGGGAUUAGAUACCCCCGUAGUCCCUGUCUCUUAUACA